rnacentral:rRNA from 1 species
UACGUAGGUGGCAAGCGUUGUCCGGAUUUACUGGGCGUAAAGAGCGCGCAGGCGGUCGUUCAAGUCGCGUGUGAAAGCCCCCGGCUCAACUGGGGAGGGUCACGCGAUACUGAUCGACUCGAAGGCAGGAGAGGGAAGUGGAAUUCCCGGUGUAGUGGUGAAAUGCGUAGAGAUCGGGGGGAACACCCGUGGCGAAGGCGGCCAACUGGGCCGACCCUGACGCUGAGGCGCGAAGGCGUGGGGAGCGAACGGG